GAUGUUAUUGCAGAGGUUGCACAUAGGUGAAAUACAAGUGUUGAGCACAACUUCGUUGGAGGAAGGAGGGAAACAUAACCAUCCCUGCCUAGGGAGACCAAAGGACAGUCUGGUUGUAGUAACCUACAAACACAGCAGGCUUCCACAGCGUGCCAGGGAGUCAGACUCUAGAGUGCCAGGAGCUUGGAGGAUUACAUUUCACAGCUUCCAGGAGAAGGCAGUUACUUUUCCCUGCACAGAGGUGAAUCUGAACAACUUGCCCAGUGUCACUCACCACACUGAACACAUCGUGCCUGAUUUGCAGCACACACAGGAAACCAUAGAAUAAUUUGGGAAGUGCUGCAGAACUGCUCUGUGCAAAACUGGUUUGAAGUGAGGAGUUUGUUAAGAAGUGGAAAGCUAAUCUCAGUUCUUGCACCAAGAAUCAAGUUCAAGAACCAAGAAUCAAGCUUAUUUUUUAGGAAACUAUGUGAGAAAUUUUCAUACGGGAAAGGACUAUCAUUUUGACACAUUACAUCCACUAUUACAAGACUUCUUUGUGAUGUGUUAAGAUGAAAGAGGGGCAGAUGAAGGAUAAGGAUGAAGGACAAAAGCUGCUUCAGUUGGAACAGAUUUUCUGUGGAACAGUGAAGGAAUAAAAAUGCAACUUGUAUGAUAAUUAUUUCUAAAUUUCAAGUUGCUAUGAAAAUUAUUUUAAAGUGAAUUCAUGGA
ensembl:lncRNA